AUUGAACGCUGGCGGCAGGCCUAACACAUGCAAGUCGAGCGGAUGAAGGGAGCUUGCUCCUGGAUUCAGCGGCGGACGGGUGAGUAAUGCCUAGGAAUCUGCCUGGUAGUGGGGGCUAACGUCCGGAAACGGGCGCUAAUACCGCAUACGUCCUGAGGGAGAAAGUGGGGGAUCUUCGGACCUCACGCUAUCAGAUGAGCCUAGGUCGGAUUAGCUAGUUGGUGGGGUAAAGGCCUACCAAGGCGACGAUCCGUAACUGGUCUGAGAGGAUGAUCAGUCACACUGGAACUGAGACACGGUCCAGACUCCUACGGGAGGCAGCAGUGGGGAAUAUUGGACAAUGGACGAAAGCCUGAUCUAGCCAUGCCGCGUGUGUGAAGAAGGUCUUCGGAUUGUAAAGCACUUUAAGUUGGGAGGAAGGGCAGUAAGUUAAUACCUUGCUGUUUUGACGUUACCAACAGAAUAAGCACCGGCUAACUUCGUG
rnacentral:rRNA from 1 species